CAGAGAGAAGAUUAGCGAGGCCCCGUGCAAGGAUGACAUGCAAAUUCGUGAAGCGUUCCAUAUUUUA
rnacentral:snRNA from 1 species